rnacentral:lncRNA from 1 species
AGGAUUUGGUAAGCUAACACUUCACUAGAACAUAUUAAGUGUAACUUCUAUAUACGCACCUAAACGUUAUCAUAUAUGUCAAAAAAUGAAACAAGUUUUUAUGUUAAAGAUGCUUGUUAUCAACGAAAUAUAGAUAAUUAAGUAGUCCUAAAGGAUAUAUCAUAAAAGCUAGUAGUAUUUUCAAUUUAUCAAGGAGCUAAAAUCGUCACAAGCAUGAUUUAUAUUGUCUAGUGUUCUGAUCAUUAAAAAAAAAAAUAAAAUAAGCAACUAUUAAUGAAAUUUACCCAAAUGAUAAGGGAAAAAAAAUAGGUAAAGGACUCUAAAAUUAAUGAAGCGAAAAGAGAAUGAGAAGAAUGAUUUCCCACCACAAUUUCGGAGUUUCAAGAGGCGAUUCUCCCGUAUCCCUCAAUCUUGG